rnacentral:rRNA from 1 species
GAAUUUUGGACAAUGGGCGAAAGCCUGAUCCAGCAAUGCCGCCUGCAGGAUGAAGGCCUUCGGGUUGUAAACUGCUUUUGUACGGAACGAAAAGCUUUGGGUUAAUACCCUGCAGUCCUCACGGUACCGUCAGAAUAAGCACCGGCUAACUACGUCCCAGCAGCCGCGGUAAUAGGUAUGGGGCAAGCGCUCAUCGGAAUUACUGGGCGUAAAGCGUGCGCAGGCGGUUUUGUAAGACAGAGGUGAAAUCCCCGGGCUCAACCUGGGAACUGCCUUUGUGACUGCAAGGCUAGAGUACGGCAGAGGGGGGUGGAAUUCCGCGUGUAGCAGUGAAAUGCGUAGAUAUGCGGAGGAACACCGAUGGCGAAGGCAACCCCCUGGGCCUGUACUGACGCUCAUGCACGAAAGCGUGGGGAGCAAACA